UCUUAUUAGGGGCACUCCAAUGCCUUAGCCAGAGUCUUCCUUCCACGGCUACGGCUUAUCCAUCGGAAACUUCUCGUUAUAAAGCGGCAACUACAGAAUAGGAAACUGCAGCAAUUGGAUAGGUUUAUCGCUUAAGAGGAAGAAAUCCCAUUAGAAUCCCUCUAUUUAGGGCAACCCAGAGACAUAUCGUAACGUAAAAAGAAAGAAAGGAGCUUAGCCCUCUUCUUAUCCUAAACCCCCUAGAAUCACAAGGAACGCUUGAUGGUUG
rnacentral:lncRNA from 1 species